CUAUUUCUACACUAAUUUUCAUUAAUGCAAUUGAAUUGAAACUCCUGGGAAGACAGAGUGAUCAUUGAAUUAUCUGAUUUAUAUUUAAGUUUCCGAAACACAACUGCAAACUAACAAUCGAGUUUAAAAACGCGAAAGCGAGGUAAUGUUUACAACCACGCUUGAAAAUCUGUCUGAGUGAGAAAAGUGUCUGAGCGGAAGCGAAAAGGGGGCUUUGUUACGUCACUUUUUGCAUCUUGCUGAUUGGCAAAUGUCACGAAGUAAACAAGAAAGUCGAUGCUCGGGGAAAGGUCCAUGUGCGCUGGCUUCAGUGAGCAAAAUUUAUCCAGCUAUACUCUAGGUGGAAAUGAAGAACAGAAAACGCUAACACGACUUUUAGACUAUUUGUCAAUGACUACAAGAACAUUCUUCAUAAUUGUACCGUAUACUGGGAAUUUUUUGUGCAGUACUUUACAAAAUGUAAUGUUGACCAUAACAAGUGUUAAUGUUAGUAAACAAGUCCAUACUAAACACGACUCCAGACCAGAUUAUUCAGCCGCGUGGAGGCAACAUGCAGCGUAUCCAUGACGACUAGAUUUUAAUUUCCGGCAAAAUACUGUCUCCACAUUCCUUCGAAGAUGGACAUAUGCGAGAAUUUGAUGCAUAUAGCAGCUGUGAUAUCAUGGGUGUAAGAUCAAGGAUUUUGAUUCAAAAGGCAAGUUCAUAAAAAUCGGCAUGUGUGCUUUUUCUGUUCUGCGUGCUUUUCCUGAUUAAUAUGACCAUCAAUAUAAAACGUUAUGCAUAUUUCUUUGUUUAAACUAGAAAACAGUCAAGAACAGUAUAAUUUUCCAGUAAGA